GAUGAACGCAGGCGGCGUGCCUAAUACAUGCAAGUCGAGCGAACGGACGAGAAGCUUGCUUCUCUGAUGUUAGCGGCGGACGGGUGAGUAACACGUGGAUAACCUACCUAUAAGACUGGGAUAACUUCGGGAAACCGGAGCUAAUACCGGAUAAUAUUUUGAACCGCAUGGUUCAAAAGUGAAAGACGGUCUUGCUGUCACUUAUAGAUGGAUCCGCGCUGCAUUAGCUAGUUGGUAAGGUAACGGCUUACCAAGGCAACGAUGCAUAGCCGACCUGAGAGGGUGAUCGGCCACACUGGAACUGAGACACGGUCCAGACUCCUACGGGAGGCAGCAGUAGGGAAUCUUCCGCAAUGGGCGAAAGCCUGACGGAGCAACGCCGCGUGAGUGAUGAAGGUCUUCGGAUCGUAAAACUCUGUUAUUAGUGAAGAACAUAUGUGUAAGUAACUGUGCACAUCUUGACGGUACCUAAUCAGAAAGCCACGGCUAACUACGUG
rnacentral:rRNA from 1 species